CUCAAGUAAACGCUUUGUCCACGUGGACAGAAAACGCUUCCUUGAGGGCACGCUUUGUGUCCACGUGGACAAAGCGCUUCCGUGAGG
rfam:Gossypium raimondii chromosome 4, whole genome shotgun sequence.